rnacentral:rRNA from 1 species
UGGGGAAUUUUGGACAAUGGGCGAAAGCCUGAUCCAGCAAUGCCGCGUGUGUGAAGAAGGCCUUCGGGUUGUAAAGCACUUUUGUCCGGAAAGAAAUCCUUGGCUCUAAUACAGUCGGGGGAUGACGGUACCGGAAGAAUAAGCACCGGCUAACUACGUGCCAGCAGCCGCGGUAAUACGUAGGGUGCAAGCGUUAAUCGGAAUUACUGGGCGUAAAGCGUGCGCAGGCGGUUUGCUAAGACCGAUGUGAAAUCCCCGGGCUCAACCUGGGAACUGCAUUGGUGACUGGCAGGCUAGAGUAUGGCAGAGGGGGGUUAGAAUUCCACGUGUAGCAGUGAAAUGCGUAGAGAUGUGGAGGAAUACCGAUGGCGAAGGCAGCCCCCUGGGCCAAUACUGACGCUCAUGCACGAAAGCGUGGGGAGCAAACAGGAUUAGAUACCCUGGUAGUCCACGCCCUAAACGAUGUCAACUAGUUGUUGGGGAUUCAUUUCCUUAGUAACGUAGCUAACGCGUGAAGUUGACCGCCUGGGGAGUACGGUCGCAAGAUUAAAACUCAAAUGAAUUGACGGGGUCAUAGCUGUUUCCU